rnacentral:lncRNA from 1 species
AAUAUGUAUGAUACGUGUUGUUUAGGAACCUUACUCACUCACACAUUGACGACAAUGUGCCUCUUAAGUGUGGGGGUGGGAAGGUAUAGGUUAAAUUUUUGUUUUGAUGUAAAUAUAGCUUUGCUAGCAUCUGUUGUUGAGUAAAAUAGGGGUAAAUUUUUUUUUUCUCUCCUGAACUGUCCUUCCUUUAGCUAGAUUUGGUUUGUUUUUCUUUUGUAAAUACUUAGUGUAGAUUGCUAUUGUUGUUCGAAUCUAUAAAUACUUUUCCUAAUCUGUUUUAGUUUGUAAAUAGGAAUUAGUUUAGUUUUCUAGUUUUUUUUGUUAUGAGUUCUUAGAUCUUUAUAGUUCAUUCUUUUUCUUGUUCAAAUUGUUUUAAGUUUAGGUUCUUUUACUUUUAAGUCUGUUUUAGAAAUUCUUUUAGGUUUCCUCUUUCUUUUCCUAUUUCCUAAUUUCUUUUCCUUCUUUUAGUUUCUUGUUCUGUUGCAGCUUCUUUAGUAGUUCUUUUAGUUUGUUUUCAUUCUUUUAGAUUCUGUUUCAACUGUUAAUAUAAAUUUCUUUAGGAUUCCCUGCUUUAAAAUUCUUUUCAUUACUUACGUUCUGUUUUUAGACUUUGGUUAGAACUUCCUUUAGGUUUUUCUUGUUUUAGGUUUUUCUUCCUUAUACCAUUUUGUUUUACUUGGUUUAGAUUGUAUAUAGAUGUUAUGUCUCUGUUUCU